rnacentral:rRNA from 1 species
UCGGCUUAGAGUUUGAUCCUGGCUCAGAUUGAACGCUGGCGGCAGGCCUAACACAUGCAAGUCGAGCGGUAGGGAAGCUUGCUUCUCACGAGCGGCGGACGGGUGAGUAAUGUAUGGGGAUCUGCCCGAUAGAGGGGGAUAACUACUGGAAACGGUAGCUAAUACCGCAUAAUCUCUAAGGAGCAAAGCAGUUCGUUGCGCUAUCGGAUGAACCCAUAUGGGAUUAGCUAGUUGGUGAGGUAAUGGCUCACCAAGGCGACGAUCCCUAGCUGGUCUGAGAGGAUGAUCAGCCACACUGGGACUGAGACACGGCCCAGACUCCUACGGGAGGCAGCAGUGGGGAAUAUUGCACAAUGGGCGCAAGCCUGAUGCAGCCAUGCCGCGUGUAUGAAGAAGGCCUUAGGGUUGUAAAGUACUUUCAGUUGGGAGGAAGGCGUUGAUUAAUAUCAACGAUUGACGUUACC